CACGUAGGGGGCGAGCGUUGUCCGGAAUCAUUGGGCGUAAAGAGCUCGUAGGCGGCUCAGUAAGUCGGGUGUGAAACCCUCAGGCUCAACCUGGGGACGCCACCCGAUACUGCUGUGGCUAGAGUCCAGUAGGGGAGUGUGGAAUUCCCGGUGUAGCGGUGAAAUGCGCAGAUAUCGGAGGAACACCAGCGGCGAAGGCGGCACUCUGGGCUGGUACUGACGCUGAGGAGCGAAAACGUGGGGAGCGAACGAGG
rnacentral:rRNA from 1 species